ensembl:lncRNA
AUGCACAAUGUAAUGCAGGAAUUUGACAGCGCAGUUUGGAAGUUGGAAAAUGAGAGUGCUACUCUACUGGAUGUUCACGGAGUAAUUAGCCGAUUGCGCAGCCAGCUAAUCUCACGUCGUGCAGACAGAUUUUAUGGUAGUAAAACAAAGCAAGCAUUCCGAAAGCUAAGUGCAAGAGACCAAAUGGAGUUUGCAACACUGGUCGACAGCUUCUUUGAAAAGGCUGUUCAAUACCUGGAGGCUAACUUUGAUUUUGAUGAUCCAGUUAUGUCUAACGCUAGCUGUCUGCGACUGAGUGGUCCAAUGGAAUGGGAUGCUCUCGAGCGACUGGUCGACAAAUUAGCUUUGAGCAUUGACGAAGACAAACUGUAUCAGGACUACACUGUACUGAACGAUGUAUUUGAAAGCAUCCCAGAAGAGCUGGCACCAGACAAGAAAUGGGCUUUUUUUUUCAAGAAGGAGAAAGCAGCCACUGAAUUGCUCAAAGUGGUAUCAUUUGUUUUUUCUGUCCCUGUCAGCAACGCCUAUGCUGAGCGUGUAUUUAGCCACAUGGAGGAUGUCUGGUCAGACAAAAGGAACAGGAUGUCAGUGGGGUUGGUCAAAGCCGAACUUCAAGUUAGAUUAAACUUUAAAUUAUCAUGCUUGGAGUUUAAAGCAUUCAUUGAGGGACAGCCGGGACUUCUGCAGGCAGCAAAAAGGGAUGAGAAAUACACAUGGAAAAAGAGAAAGGAGUCCAGAGUGAGUGCAUCUACUUCAGGGAGAGCAUCUACAUCAGGACAAAUAUAGGUAAGAGAGGCAAUAGCCUGUUAAACAGCACCUGAUUGCUAAACUAAGUUGUCUUUCGCGUCUGACUGAUUUCGCGUCUAAUACUGUCAAAACACAAGGUUUACAUAUAAACACAGUUAGUAAUGUCUAAAAUGAAAGUGAACAAUUGAGAGAGAAACGAAUGUGUGCAGCUCUUAAAGCAGCUUGCCAUUAAAAGAAUAGUUCACACAAAAAUUACAUUUACAUUACAUUACAUAUCUGUCGUUAUUUACUCACAUGUUGUCCCAAACCUGUAUUAAUUGCUUUCUUGUGCUUCACACAAAGAAUCUGGGUAACCAAACAGUAGCUGGUCCCCACUAACUUUGACAGUAUAGGUGGGGAAAUGGAAGUCACAUAGGAAACAGCAAAUGUUUUAUUACAUCUUUAAAAUAACUUUUACAUUCAACAGAAGAAAGAAACUAAUUCAGGUUUAAAACAACUUCAGACUGAGUAAAUGAUGGUAUAAAAAUAAAACACUAUGACAGAAUUGACA